rfam:Fictibacillus phosphorivorans strain G25-29, complete genome.
AGUCCCUUUAAAUUCAGUCCAGAGAGGCUGGCAAGGGAGGUAUAUAUCAAGUGAGACGAUCCGUGUACACUUGUGCCUCCGCGGCCUCUUUUGCAAAAGCAGAAGAGGUUUUUUUUA